GAUGAACGCUGGCGGCCUGCUUAACACAUGCAAGUCGAACGAUUAAACUGGCUUCGGCCAGAUAUAGAGUGGCGAACGGGUGAGUAACACGUGACCAACCUGCCCCGCGCUCCGGGACAACCGCUGGAAACGGCGGCUAAUACCGGAUGCUCCGGGGAGGCCCCAUGGCCUCCCCGGGAAAGCCUUAACGGCGCGGGAUGGGGUCGCGGCCCAUUAGGUAGACGGCGGGGUAACGGCCCACCGUGCCCGCGAUGGGUAGCCGGACUGAGAGGUCGACCGGCCACAUUGGGACUGAGAUACGGCCCAGACUCCUACGGGAGGCAGCAGUGGGGAAUUUUGCGCAAUGGGGGCAACCCUGACGCAGCAACGCCGCGUGCGGGACGACGGCCUUCGGGUUGUAAACCGCUUUCAGCAGGGAAGAAAUUCGACGGUA
rnacentral:rRNA from 1 species